rnacentral:rRNA from 1 species
GGGGGGGGGGGGGGGGGGGGGGGGGGGGGGCGGGGCGGGCGGGGGGGGGGCGGUGGGGGGGUACGCGGGGGGGGGGCGGGGGGGGAACACGUGAGGAACCUGCGCUUGACUUUGGGAGAACUGCAGGGAACUGGGGCUAAUACCGGAGAGGAGCGCCUGCGGCAUGGUGGGGGUGGGAAAGUUUCGGCGGUUGGGGAUGGACUCGCGGCUUAUCAGCUUGUUGGGGGGGUAGUGGCUUACCAAGGCUUUGACGGGUAGCCGGCCUGAGAGGGUGACCGGCCACAUUGGGACUGAGAUACGGCCCAGACUCCUACGGGAGGCAGCAGUGGGGAAUAUUGCACAAUGGGUGGAAGCCUGAUGCAGCAACGCCGUGUGCGGGAUGACGGCCUUCGGGUUGUAAACCGCUUUCGCUCAUGACGAAGCUUUGUGUGACGGUAGUGGGUAAAGAAGCACCGGCUAACUACGUG